rnacentral:lncRNA from 1 species
GCGGGAGCCUGGCUCCUCAGCCGCGUGGGCGUCAAGAUCCGGGUCCUCCUGCCGGCGGCCGUUCGCUUCCGGCGGCCGCUUUCCCGCCACCGCCGCCGCGGCCCCGGGCCUGGGCGAGCCUGACUCCUCCACCGCGGUGCGGGGGAUGGAAGGAGCCGGAGAGGAGGUGCAGACGGUUCGUGAAUGUGUUGUUUUCUGUGCGGCCAAGAGAACACAACAAGCAUUUUGUGCAGUGAUGACCGAAUUUCCCUGUGGCCAGCCUACUGUGUGGAGCCUGCAUGAAAAGAGGUGAGCCAUCUACCUGCAGGCUUGCUUGUCCCCACCUGUCUUUCUAUCAGAGUGUGCUCUCCCAGAGCCUGGGCCUCCUGGGUCUGCGCACUGCUGGCCCCACUGAGGGAACAAGACGAAUCACAGCCGUGGUGCCUCCUUUGAUCCUGUGACCUGCCACAAACUGCCAGUCAGAGGUGAUGAGGAAACUGAGGCUCCCAGACGUGAUGGGAAGCAGUACUCAGAGCACAGUGUGAUAGAAGAGUGGAUAAGACAGGCACAUCGCUGCCGUGUAGAGGGAGGGGCAGAACCGAAAAACAGCUGAGCACACCAACAAGGACACUCCCACCAGCACAGACAGGAGAAGCACAGCCAUCGGGCGCCGCCCCAUCUCCAGGGGAGUUGCAGCUUCCGGCAAACUCACUGGGGUCCACUUGGCCUUUCUGGAGGUCCCUCCUGGGUUUUCAGCCUCACCCCUACCAGGCGUCAGGCUCUUCAGGUGCUGACAUAAUCUCAUUUCAUCCUCAAGCCUGCCUGGGAAGCCACAGUUUCUUACCCUCGUUUUAUAGAGGAGGAAACUGAGGCUCAGAGAGGCUGAGCCCCACCCAAGACCUCUCAGCGGGUGAGAGCCCCCCCAGAUCCUCACCUGGGUCAGUGGGGCUGUGUCCCCUGCCCUCUGCCCCAGGGUCUCCACCAUCCAAAGUCGUCCCAGCUGACCUCCGAUGAGGAGAACAUUCUGACCCCGCCCAAACUCAGGGAGGAGGAUUUGCUGAUUCUCUGAGGGUGGCCUUCCACUGCGAGGGGAUUCCUUUGGAUAUCUAGAAAACAACCCAAACCCAACAACUUACACAUUUUUAAAAUUUAAUUUUUAAAAAGCUAAUGCAUUCUCAUGGUUCAAAGGUAAAAUAAAAAAGAUGUCAAGUGAAAAGUCAGCCUCCCAACUGUCCCACAUCCACCAAGGUCCCCCCGCCCCCAGGGAGUCCCUGUCCUUAGUUUCUU